AAAAGAAACCAACUGGGAUUGACCUUAGUAACGGCGAGUGAAGCGGUAAAAGCUCAAAUUUGAAAUCUGGUACUUUCAGUGCCCGAGUUGUAAUUUGUAGAAUUUGUCUUUGAUUAGGUCCUUGUCUAUGUUCCUUGGAACAGGACGUCAUAGAGGGUGAGAAUCCCGUUUGGCGAGGAUACCUUUUCUCUGUAAGACUUUUUCGAAGAGUCGAGUUGUUUGGGAAUGCAGCUCAAAGUGGGUGGUAAAUUCCAUCUAAAGCUAAAUAUUGGCGAGAGACCGAUAGCGAACAAGUACAGUGAUGGAAAGAUGAAAAGAACUUUGAAAAGAGAGUGAAAAAGUACGUGAAAUUGUUGAAAGGGAAGGGCAUUUGAUCAGACAUGGUGUUUUUUGCAUGCACUCGCCUCUCGUGGGCUUGGGCCUCUCAAAAAUUUCACUGGGCCAACAUCAAUUCUGGCAGUAGGAUAAAUCAUUAAGAAUGUAGCUACCUCGGUAGUGUUAUAGCUUAUUGGAAUACUGCUAGCUGGGAUUGAGGACUGCGCUUCGGCAAGGAUGUUGGCA
rnacentral:rRNA from 1 species